CGGAACGGGUGAGUAACGCGUGAGGAACCUGCCUCAAAGAGGGGGACGAACAGUUGGAAACGAACUGCUAAUACCGCAUAAGCCCACGGUGCCGCAUGGCACAGAGGGAAAAGGAGCAAUCCGCUUUGAGAUGGCCUCGCGUCCGAUUAGCUAGUUGGUGAGGUAACGGCCCACCAAGGCAACGAUCGGUAGCCGGACUGAGAGGUUGAACGGCCACAUUGGGACUGAGACACGGCCCAGACUCCUACGGGAGGCAGCAUG
rnacentral:rRNA from 1 species